rnacentral:rRNA from 1 species
CGGACGGACGAGUAAUGUCUGGGAAACUGCCUGAUGGAGGGGGAUAACUACUGGAAACGGUAGCUAAUACCGCAUAACGUCGCAAGACCAAAGAGGGGGACCUUCGGGCCUCUUGCCAUCGGAUGUGCCCAGAUGGGAUUAGCUAGUAGGUGGGGUAACGGCUCACCUAGGCGACGAUCCCUAGCUGGUCUGAGAGGAUGACCAGCCACACUGGAACUGAGACACGGUCCAG